rnacentral:rRNA from 1 species
UACGGGGGGAGCAAACGUUGUUCGGAAUUACUGGGCGUAAAGGGCGUGCAGGCGGCCUUGUAAGUGGGAUGUGAAAUGCCCUGGCUCAACCAGGGAACUGCAUCCCAGACUGCAAGGCUUGAGUAUAGGAGAGGAUGGGGGAAUUCCCGGUGUAGCGGUGAAAUGCAUUGAUAUCGGGAGGAACACCAGUGGCGAAGGCGCCCAUCUGGCCUAAUACUGACGCUCAGGCGCGAAAGCUAGGGGAGCAAAC